rnacentral:rRNA from 1 species
UACGGAGGGUGCAAACGUUGCUCGGAAUCAUUGGGCGUAAAGCGCACGUAGGCGGCCUGAUAAGUCGGGUGUGAAAGCCCUGGGCUCAACCCAGGAAGUGCACUCGAAACUGUCAGGCUUGAAUAUGGAAGAGGGUCGCGGAAUUCCCGGUGUAGAGGUGAAAUUCGUAGAUAUCGGGAGGAACACCAGUGGCGAAGGCGGCGACCUGGUCCGACACUGACGCUGAGGCGCGAAAGCGUGGGGAGCAAACAGG